CCUCCCUGCACCGCCAGCCCUCUGGGUCGGAGCCGUAUUUGCUUCCUAGCCUGGUCCACAAGCAACAGGCUCUGAGGCGCAGUCCCUGGGCGCCUGUUUUCCUCCUGCUGCUGGUGCUUGUGUGCGUCUGGGGCUGGUUUAUGAGUGGGCCUGGUGCAUCCGGCCUAGUGCGUGCCCUGCAGCCUGACAAAGCUCUGGAAUUGCAAAAAAACUGGGCCAGUCCUCUCAGAUCUUCUCAUCUUCCAUUGUUGUAAGAAGCACAGUGUGCCAGCCCCUGGCAGGGAACUCUGGUUCCAGCAACAUGACCUUGUCACAGAAUCCGUAGGACAAUUCAGAUGUCAGCAAGAUCAUUUAAAAACUUUCAGGUCCUAUGACUCCACCGCUGAUGAACUUAGAAGAGUUAUUCAAGGACAGCUUCUUCACGGACCAGAAAUCUCAGAAACAACAUCUGCUGCAAAGAGGAAUCAUUUCUCACUAUGUAUUCUUGCCAACUUCGAACUCUGAGGAAAUCCACAAAACGGAGAAAGAGAAUCAAUACUUAAUCAAAGAUUACAUUUUAGUAUUUGGCCCAAAUAAAAGAAGCCAGGGGGAAUCACUAUAAAGAAAAGAUAUAAAGGAAGGAAACUGACUACAGAUUCAAGGUUUGUGGAGGUGGAGACAUUGAAGGUAAGAGUAAAGUGAGCUAGGGCCAAGUAUGAGAAUAAAAGCUUGGACGUUUUGUAGAGAUCUGCUUGCCAAAAUCAGACUUCAAAUGUCAACUCCUCUUCCCUGCCUGUAUUUUCUUGUCUAUGUUUUAUUUGGUCUGAACUCAUAAAAACUGACCUCAGCUUGUUAAAAACGGGACAUCUUUCCUCCUGAAUCCAUGCUAUUCUGACUGUAGCUUGCCUCCGAUGUUCAUUGUAGCAUUAUUCAUGGUGCCC